rnacentral:rRNA from 1 species
CGCAGCAAACGCAAUAAGUAGUCCAACCUGGGGAGUACGUUCGCAAGAAUGAACUCAAAGGAAUUGACGGGGAACCCGCACAAGCGGUGGAGCAUGUGGUUUAAUUCGAAAGCAACGCGAAGAACCUUACCUGCUCUUGACAUCCCGCUGACCGGACGGUAAUGCGUCCUUCCCUUCGGGGCAGCGGAGACAGGUGGUGCAUGGUUGUCGUCAGCUCGUGUCGUGAGAUGUUGGGUUAAGUCCCGCAACGAGCGCAACCCCUAUCCUUAGUAGCCAGCGGCCAGGCCGGGCACUCUAGAGAGACUGCCGGGGAUAACCCGGAGGAAGGUGGGGAUGACGUCAAAUCAUCAUGCCCCUUAUGAGCAGGGCUACACACGUGCUACAAUGGCGUAAACAAAGGGAAGCGAGACCGCGAGGUGGAGCAAAUCCCAAAAAUAACGUCUCAGUUCGGAUUGUAGUCUGCAACUCGACUACAUGAAGCUGGAAUCGCUAGUAAUCGCGAAUCAGAAUGUCGCGGUGAAUACGUUCCCGGGUCUUGUACACACCGCCCGUCACACCAUGGGAGUCAGUAACGCCCGAAGUCAGUGACCCAACCGUAAGGAGGGAGCUGCCGAAGGCGGGACCGAUAACUGGGGUGAAGUCGUAACAAGGUAACC